rnacentral:tRNA from 1 species
GCGCCCGUAGCUCAGUGGAUAGAGCAACUGACUUCUAAUCUGUAGGCCGUGGGUUCGAGUCCCGCCGGGCGCGUCA